UGGGGAAUAUUGCACAAUGGGGGGAACCCUGAUGCAGCCAUGCCGCGUGAAUGAAGAAGGCCUUCGGGUUGUAAAGUUCUUUCGGUGACGAGGAAGGUUGGUAGGUUAAUAGCCUAUCAAAUUGACGUUAAUCACAGAAGAAGCACCGGCUAACUCCGUGCCAGCAGCCGCGGUAAUACGGGGGGUGCGAGCGUUAAUCGGAAUAACUGGGCGUAAAGGGCACGCAGGCGGUGACUUAAGUGAGAUGUGAAAGCCCCGAGCUUAACUUGGGAAUUGCAUUUCAUACUGGGUCGCUAGAGUACUUUAGGGAGGGGUAGAAUUCCACGUGUAGCGGUGAAAUGCGUAGAGAUGUGGAGGAAUACCGAAGGCGAAGGCAGCCCCUUGGGAAUGUACUGACGCUCAUGUGCGAAAGCGUGGGGAGCAAACAGGAUUAGAUACCCUGGUAGUCCACGCUGUAAACGAUGUCGAUUUGGGGAUUGGGCUUCGAGCUUGGUGUCCGUAGCUAACGUGAUAAAUCGACCGCCUGGGGAGUACGGCCGCAAGGUUA
rnacentral:rRNA from 1 species